UACGUAGGUGGCAAGCGUUGUCCGGAAUUAUUGGGCGUAAAGAGCGCGUAGGCGGUCCGAUAAGUCGGCUGUGAAAGUCCAGGGCUCAACCCUGGAAAGCCGGCCGAUACUGUCGGACUAGAGUCCGGAAGAGGCGAGUGGAAUUCCCGGUGUAGCGGUGAAAUGCGCAGAUAUCAGGAGGAACACCAGCGGCGAAGGCGGCGCUCUGGGCCGGUACUGACACUGAGGAGCGAAAGCGUGGGUAGCAAACAGG
rnacentral:rRNA from 1 species